CUGGAGGAGUAGCUCAAUGGUAGAGCUCUUGCCUAACAUGCUAUAGGCCCUGGGAUCAAUUCCCAGUAUAGA
rnacentral:tRNA from 1 species